CCUCAACUACCACUAUUCUGCAUCAGAGAUCAAGCAGUGUUUGUUGACUGCAUUGGUGAUGGCGUGGCUGGAUUGCUGCACACACUGGGUGGCUUCUUACGAUCUUGAGAGCAGUAUCUGUGACCCAGCCAUGGAGGCCUUCUUUUCUGCAUAUUCAAACCGGGAACUUGGAUCUAGGCCCUUACCCUCGGAGGCGGCUUUCUAAUUUCUCCAACCCAUACGCCUUCUGGCGCCCUCGUGUGGCCCUGGUUGUUUUCUGGGCGAAUCUGUGGGGUCCCCUGAAGGUCUGGAAACUCCGCGCCGGUGGGGAUCAUCUUCUGCACAAUAGGCGCUCGCCAGCCACCACGCCUCGCCCAGUGAGGAGCAGCGGGAGCUACUGUGAGGCCCACAGAAAGACCUGGCUCAGCACUGGCCUUGGAAAAAACAGAGACCGGUUCCAGCCCAACCGAGGCGCCCCAUAUCCGGCCCUGGCCGCCCCAAGCAUUUUUUUUUUUUCUCCGCCAAGAUGGUGGGAGACCGGUCUCAGCUGGAAGGGGUGGAUGGAAGGUGCAGGGACUGUGGACAACGCCCCCGGGCGCGGCACACACGGCUAGAGUUGGGGCGAGCCGUGGAGAGCUGUCCUGCGGGUCCCGCUGCGUUGGGAGUUGUGGGUGCCCAAGGCCAAGAAGAGAAAGGCGGGAGGGGAGAGAGGCGGGGCUGUUCGGCAGCCAGCGGAAAUGGUGCGGGGAGUCAGCCCCUGGGGCCGCCCGGAGAGCUGGGAUGCGGCGCGGGCCACGUGCACCCGGGAGUACUUAGGGUGGCGGCGGCCCGCGUGUCGUGGGGGAGACCCUCUGUGGGAAGAGCCUUGCCGGUGCCUCUCUUCUCAGAAUUGAGACUAUUGACGUCCCAGGCGGGGCCGGCUUCUCCAAACCAGGCCAGGGGCUGCAGGGAGAAGAAUGCACCUGGUAUUGCUGCGGAUCGCAACCGCUCGGGCGCAAAGAUCAAGAGAGAGAGGUGGGGCUGACACGUCAAAGACAUUAUGAGGAAGAAGAUGAAACUCAAAGCAGAUCCCGGGAGAGAUGUCCUUUCAACCCCGUGUCUCUGCUAAAUGCCUUUUGGAUCCAAGCAGUGGAGCCCAUUGGAUGACUGGACUAACUCAGAGACUAUUACUGAGGCUUAUUAGGCUGGCAAAAAGAAUUCUAGCCAAAUCUUCCAGGUUAGAAGAGAAAUGACAGCUGCCCCUGAAGGGAUUCCCAGGAUGGAGCACAGCAACCAUCCUACAAAGGGUUAAUACUCCCCCUCCCCUGGCCCCCAACUUGCUGCCAGAGAUCAGCUAAUCUGAUAAUUACAGCAACAAACACAGUUUAGACAAACAAGACCUGACCCUGAGGGUUUGGAAUGAAAACAUUUACUCUCUCCCUCCCCAGAGAGACGGUGCCUGGAGCAUACACACAGAGACACUGGGAAAAUACCCCUGUGCUGGAGCGAGGGGUGAAAACAUCUGUGUUCCUGAGCUGCUUGGGAAGAUAGCUUUAAUGGGGAGGGGGUUCAGUGGGGGAGGCGGAGGAGUGGGCAGUGGUGCAGCGGGAGGGUGUGCAGGCUGGGAGCAGAUGGAACAUGUACCCAUAACUGGAGCUAUAAGCCAAUUGUAAUUGAUUUUUACAGCAGAGGCAGAGUGCAGGGAGAGGUACGUAGGAGACUCAGCGAUUCAGAAUUCUAGUGAAAAACCUGGAAAAUGGCUAAGUGGGGAGAAACAUCCUAUGACACCAAAGUGGGGUCUAUUGUUUUUAUUAAAAAAUGUUUUUAAUGUUUAUUUAUUUUUGAGAGAGAGAGAGGGAGAGAGAGCACGCAUGGGAGAGCGGGGGAGACACAGAAUCCAAAGCAGGGUCCAGGCUCUGAGCUGUCAGCACAGAGCCUGACUUGGGGUUCAAACCCAUGAACCAUGAGAUCAUGACCCCAGCUGAAAUUGAGCCUUAACCCACUGAGCCACCCAGGCACCUGAGGAUCUAUUCCUGAGAGCUAGAGGCGAAGAAUAUUCAAAACAGCCCGAUUCUAAGUCAAGUUGACAUCUGCCCACCAGGGAGUGAGGGGUUCAUCCUUUUCUCACCCCAAAAAUUUGGCUUCAAAUUCUGCCAGCUUCAAAACAUGUCAAACUAUUUCCCCCCCCUUUUACUUCUAAAUGCUGGUUCCUAGAAGAAACCUUUCCGGGUUGCUUAAACGGGAGGGGCUGAUGUGCCUUCAGUCUGGAAUUCCAGCAGUUACUCCUUCCCAACUCCACCCUCAUCAUUUCUUUCUUACACUUGGCUGAUGGUGUGUCAGCCCGUAAACGCUUCCUGGCCACUUUGAGCUCUCCAAAUUAUGGUGAGGCAUCCAAAUCCUUGGGGGAUUGCAGAUCACUGUAUGGAUUACACCCAGCUAAGAGGAAUAACUGUGAUUGAUGAUAGGAUCAAGGUUUAAAGUGAAUUCCAUAAGGUGAAAGAUGGUCUAAAAUCAAUAAGAUAGGAUGUGCCAAGAAUGUGAUGCACCGCAUUUAGGUCCAAUAAUCAACUGUACAAGUAUGAGAUGGAAAGACCUAGAAAACAAUAGUUUAUGUAAAAACAACAACAACAACAAAGCAAAACAUGUUUUGGCCAAUAACUGGUUCAAUAUGAGAUGAGCAUAUUUGCUUAAAAAGUAAGUAUUAAUAAAAGUAUUGUGAUCACAUUGA